GACGAACGCUGGCGGCGUGCUUAACACAUGCAAGUCGAACGGUGAAGCUCCAGCUUGCUGGAGUGGAUCAGUGGCGAACGGGUGAGUAACACGUGAGCAACCUGCCCCUGACUCUGGAAUAAGCGCUGGAAACGGCGUCUAAUACUGGAUACGAGAAGGGUCCGCAUGGGCACUUUCUGGAAAGUUUUUCGGUUGGGGAUGGGCUCGCGGCCUAUCAGCUUGUUGGUGAGGUAAUGGCUCACCAAGGCGAAGACGGGUAGCCGGCCUGAGAGGGCGACCGGCCACACGGGGACUACGACUCGGCCCAGAAUCCUACUGGAGGCACCAGUGGGAAAUAUUGCACAAUGGACGAAAGCCUGAUGCAGCGACGCCGCGUGCGGGAUGACGGCCUUCGGGUUGUAAACCUCUUUCAGCAGGGAAGAAGCGAAAGUGACGGUACCUACAGAAGAAGCACCGGCUAACUACGUG
rnacentral:rRNA from 1 species